rnacentral:rRNA from 1 species
AUUGAACGCUGGCGGCAGGCCUAACACAUGCAAGUCGAACGGUAACAGGAAGCAGCUUGCUGCUUUGCUGACGAGUGGCGGACGGGUGAGUAAUGUCUGGGAAACUGCCUGAUGGAGGGGGAUAACUACUGGAAACGGUAGCUAAUACCGCAUAACGUCGCAAGACCAAAGAGGGGGACCUUCGGGCCUCUUGCCAUCGGAUGUGCCCAGAUGGGAUUAGCUAGUAGGUGGGGUAAAGGCUCACCUAGGCGACGAUCCCUAGCUGGUCUGAGAGGAUGACCAGCCACACUGGAACUGAGACACGGUCCAGACUCCUACGGGAGGCAGCAGUGGGGAAUAUUGCACAUUGGGCGCAAGCCUGAUGCAGCCAUGCCGCGUGUAUGAAGAAGGCCUUCGGGUUGUAAAGUACUUUCAGCGGGGAGGAAGGGAGUAAAGUUAAUACCUUUGCUCAUUGACGUUACCCGCAGAAGAAGCACCGGCUAACUCCGUG